rnacentral:tRNA from 1 species
GGUUUCACAGCUCAGUUGGUUAGAGUGUCGCACCAAUAGCGCGAGCUCACGGGUCCAAACCCUGUUGAAGUCC